GACAGGUCGAGGGACCGGCGGGAGGACAGGUGGAGGGAGUCGUGAGGGGGGGGCGCCCUCGGGGCCGAGGUUGAGCAACCAGCACCGGCUGGUCAAUGUCCAGGUGCGCCGGCUUUAAACGGUCAAUCGACACGGCCUCUGGCCGGCCCCCCAUGUCCAGGACAAAAGUCGACUGCCCGUGUUCCAGCACCCGGAACGGGCCCUCGUACGGCCUCUGGAGUGGCGUCCGGUGGGCAUCACGGCGCAGGAAGGCGUAUGAGCAGUCCGUGAGGGCCAUUGGCACGUGUGGGCGAAAUGUCCCAUGGCGGGACGUCGGGACGGGUGCGAGCCUGCCAACUCGCUCGCGAAGGCGUUGAAGGGUGGAGGAGGGCGUUUUCUGCUGCUCCGGCGCCGACGGCACGAACUCCCCGGGCACUGUGAGUGUCGACCCGUACACCAGCUCCGCCAAUGAUGAGGCCAAGUCCUCUUUGGGAGCGGUCCGGAUGCCCAGCAUGACCCACGGCAACUCGUCCAUCCAGUCCGGGCCGGUGAGUCGUGCCUUCAAUGCCGCCUUCAGCUGCCGGUGGAUCCAGGUGAGGGUGUACGAUUGGGAAUUGGGUCAGGAAAUUGCAUAGUAAAUUGGUUUAUCAGUUUCUCUACCCAUUUGCCAAUUAGACCCCCCUCAACUAUAUACACCCAUCACUUGCCAGGCUUUGUCCAACCCCAUCUCUGUUUUUCAACUUACAGUUCCAGUCUGUCGAAGGAAUGUGUAGGAAGGAACUGCAGAUGCUGAUUUACACCAACGAUAGACACAGAAUGCUGGAGUAACACAGCAGCACUGUUCAGCACCCAACAUUCUCUGCCUACACAGCUGCUAUGAGCACCUCUGGAAACCAGCAUACUCAUUCGUGCAGAUACUGAUGACUCUCCUAUCUUUAUCAAUGAGAUUGCGAUUCUUAGUGUUAAAUGACUCCUGCUGCUGAAUUUUAACAUUAUUUAAAUGUGCUAAUUAACAGCAAUAGAAUAUUAAAGUCUUAACAUGAGAUGAAUACUGUGAUAGCUUAUUAAAAUUAUGUGAAUACAGAUGGUACAUUAAAAGUUGAUGUGAAAUAAAUCAAUUAUUGAACAUCUUCAAUAAAACCAUGUGUUCAGAAUAUUGGAGCAGGAGUAGGCCAUUUGCCCUUGUAUCAGCUCCGAAACCAAUUAAUUCUAUUCUACACACAAGAGACAAUUUACAGAAGCCAAUUAACCUACAAACCUGUACUUCAUUGAAGUGUGGGAGGAAACCGGAGCACUCGGGGAAAACCCAUGCCGUCACAGGGAGACCUCUACAGACAGCGUCUGCAGUCAGGAUCGAACGCGUGAAUCUGAUGCUGCGCCGCCGUGCUGCCUCCUUAUUCUCUAAAUAUCCAUAACUUAGUGAAUACUUAUUUUGAACAAAAUGAAUGACUGAACUUUCAUGCUCCUGAGGGCAUCAAGGAUUUGCAAGCCAGCUGAUGAUACAAAAAUGGAAGGAAUUGUGAGGAGAGAGGAGGAUUCCAGAGAUUGUCCAGAAAUCAUCUUAGUUCAGGCAUCCUACAUCUUACAGAGUGAUCUCUAGUCUUAUAUGAAUAAACCUGCCAAACCCUCUGAGAACUUUGUGAUGAGGUUAUCUAAUCUCUAAAGUAUACAGGCUUAGGUCAACAGCUGUUGGAAGAUCAUCAACAGUCAGUAGCCUCGGGACCCUAGGGAGGUAUCUGUAUUCACAACACCCUACUAGAUGGCAUGCGCUGGCAACGUACUAUUUCCACCCUAGAUAGCAUCAAACUAGCACUCUCAGGCUGGCCAUAGACAUAGAAACUGAAUUAGACCAUUCAGACCAUUGAGUUUGCUCCGCCAUGAGAUAGUGCCUGAUCUAUUUUCCCCCCUCAAUCCCACUCUCCUGCUUUCUCAUUACUUUUGACACCCAUACAAGAACCUAUCAUUCUCCACGUUGAAAAUACCAACGCAGUGAAAGAGAGGAUUUCACCUGCUGGGAACCCCUUGGUCUCCCAGUGUAUGACAUCCAUCUAUCACAUUCCCCGCUGCAGGAGGAUGGGCUGAGGGAAGCAUUGAAAGAGACACAAAGAAUUACAGCUGCUGGAUUCUUGAGCAAAAAUCAAAGUGCGAGACGAACUGAGCUUGCCAGGCAGCAUCUGUGGAGGGAACAGCCAGACAUAAAAACAGCUUCUUUUUUUUCCACGAGUAGUAGCUGUACACAAUAACCAAAAAUCUGUAGCCUCCUUUUGCUCUGGUAUUUUAUUUAAUUCAUGGUUAAUCAAUAAAGUUUUAUUAUUAAUGUUUUAUGGGUUAUUCCUCACUAUCACUGUAUGCCAUGUUGUCACUUGCGGGCGGAGCACCAAGGCAAAUUCCUUGUAUGUGAAUACUUGGCCAAUAAACAUUCAUUUAUUCAUUCAAAUGACUCCCUCCAGAACCUUCUAUGGCAAUGAAUUCUACAGAUUCACCACCAGCUGGCUAAAGACAUUCCUCCUCGUCUCCAUUCAAAAUGUAUGCCCUUUUAGUCUGAGGCUGUUAGAAUCUGGUCAGAUACAUCUGGUCGACCUAGACAUCCUCUGCGCAUCCGUCUCUCGACCAGGCCGACCAGAUCUAAUUGACCACAUUCUAGUUGAAGCUAGACAUAAAAUGCUGAAGUAACUCAGAGGGACAGGCAGCAUUCCGGAGAGAAGGAAUGGGUGACAUUUCAGGUCGAGACCCUUCCUCAGACUGAUCGCCAUCGGUCUGAAGAAGGGUCUUGACCCGAAAUGUCACCCAUUCAUUCUCUCCAGAGAUACUGCCGGGCCCGCUGAGUUUCUCCAACAUUUUGUGUCUAUUUUCGAUUUAAACCAGCAUCUGCACUUCCUCCCUACACAUUCUAGUGGAACCUGGAAGCGGGAAGGCCAAUGAGUGGCACACGUGCUGUGAUACACUCCCUGUCUGCUCCAUUCCACGCUCCAGCCCAGUUUCCACACAUCCCAUUGCACUGGCUCCAACUGCAUGCGCUGUUGCGUGCCUGCCAAUUCAGCAGAUGCCAAAUCCCCAGGCUCCUCCUGACUAGGGGGCAAUCAAUCACCGGCAAUACGCACUCACUGGCAGGAGAGGCUCAAGGCAUCCGGCCCGAACUGCAGAGCUGUGCAAAAAUACAGCCCGUAAAUGAUUGGAAUGUUAGUUCACUCUCACUUCCACGGUUCUAUUAGCAACCAUCGACACAUUCCUCCAGCUGAGAUCACAGCUCACAGCAGCUGCCUGCUGGGCACAGAUGGCUCCUGUACUCAGUCUGAAGAUGGGUCUUGACCCGAAACGCCACCCACUCAUCUCUCCAGACAUGCUGCCUGUCCCGCUGAGUUAAACUAGGAUUGUGUGUCUAUAUUCGGUGUAAACUAGCAUCUGCAGUUCCUUCCUACACAAGGCUCCUGUACUCCCCGCUGAUAUGGAAGGUGGAGUUGGAGUUUAUGUUUGUUCAGAGAUAUAGCACGGAAACAGGUCAUUCGGCCCCAUCGAUCAUCGAUCACCCGUUCGCACGUGUUCUACAGUAUGUCAUCCAACUUUCUCAUCCUCUCUCUAAACAAGGGUCAAUUUACAGAGGCUAACUAACCAGCAAACCCGCACAUCAAUGCGAUGUGGGAAGAAACUGAGGCAACCCAUUCACGCGAUUACAGGGAGAAGUGUGUAAAAGCACACCUCCAGAUUCAGGGACAUUUUUUUCCCAGCUGUUAUCUAGCAACUGAACCAUCCUACCACGACCAGAGAACAGUUCUGAACUAUCUCUCAUUAGAGACCCUUGGAUUAUCUUUGAUCGGGCUUUACUGGCGUUAUCUUCACUAAUCGUUAUUCAUGUUAUUCCCUUAAUCAUGUAUCUGUACAAGUGAUAGCUUGAUUGUUACCAUGUAUUGGCUUUCCACUGACUGGUUAGCACGCAACAAAAGCUUUUCACUGUACCUCGGUACAUGUGACAUUAAACUAAACUAAAUGUGCAAACUCCACACAGACAGCACCUGAGGUCAGGAUCCAACCCUGGUCUCUGGUGCUGUGAGGCAGCCGCUCUACCAGUUGCAUCAGUGUGCCAUUGGUGAUCUGAUCAUUGCUGCUGUUGUCAGCGGAUGGGAGUUUGAGUGCAUUCAUCGGCUUGAUCAGAGGCACUUUGAGGGGAGACAAAGCAUUGGAGCGGAUGUUACUUUAUAACUGGAUGGAAAUCAAUGGCAGGAAGCAGGCCAGCUACAGGCUGCACAGUGGCGGGCUUCCCCAGUAAUAUGAUUGUGAGUUUCUAUCCUGCCAUAACCCUUUCUCAAGAGUUAUUCUUAUUGAGAGAUACAGCAUGACGCAGGACGUUCAGCCCACUCAUUGUGCUUAUCAUUAAGCAUCCUUCUUUUAACACAAAUCAUAUCCUAAGCCUUUUAUUGUUCCAGUUCCCCACCAUCUCCCCUAUUCAAUGACACCUGCAUAUUCGGAACAAUUUACAGCCACCAAAUAACCUACCGAUCUGCAUGUCCUGGAGUUCCAAGCAAGGUCAUCUUAUUCAUUGAUAUGAUUGAAUUCCCAAAUACAAGUUCAUUUAACAUCAGUUAUGUGAAAAAUAGUUGGAAACUAUUCAAAGGUUGGUGCCUGGAAUGCAAUGCGCAAUGCUAGGAGUGGUGGUGGAGGCAGAUGCGAAAGUGGCUUUUAGGUAAGAGGCUUUUAGAUGAGCACAUGUAUGUGCAUGAGAAUGGAGCGAUAUAGAUUAUGUGCAGGCAGAGGAGAUUAGUUUAUCUUGGCAUUGUGUUAGGCACAGACAUUGUGGGCCCAAGGACUCGUUUCUGCGCUACAUUGUUCUAUUCAAAGAGGAUAACGCAAACUUUAAACACCGGUAUUCAGUGAUGGUUUUAAGGGAAGCAUGGGCCUGACAGAGUAGAUUGAAUUAUUUGAGUAGGUUGCAUGGUGGGUUGAUGAGGCCUGGGUAUUUAAUGUAAUUAUCUGGAUUUUAGCAAAGUUUUUGGCAAGGUUCAACAGGGCAGACUGAUGAGAAAGAUUUAGCGGCACGGGAUGCGAGUGAGAGUCAUGGGCUAGAGUGAGGAUUGGCUCUGGCAGGAUGCAGAGGGCAAUAGUCGACUAAUAUAGUGGGAUUGGAAGGUUGCACUGGGAUAUCUCAGGUCUAUGGUUCUUCUUCUUCUUCUUGCGUAUGUCGUGCACAGCCUAAAGUUGUACGAUAACUUGUUCUAUUUGAUCUUAUUUGAUUGUGCACGCCGGGUUGAUUGCAUUCGUCAAAACAGGGCAGACCACGUGAAGGUUGCAAUCUCCCACCCCAGGUCUAUGGUUCACUCCUAAUACAUGGCAAAGAUCGCGACGGAAAUAUCUGGGCCAUCAAGUGCGCAGAUGACUGCAUAGUCGAAGGGUUGCAGGAAAGCGUAAGACUGCAGGGUGAUGAAGGUGGGGUGGUCUUUUAUGCAGAACCAGUUGGUUAAUGGAGUUUAACUCCGGGGAGAGGUAACAUGGAAUCUGCACGUUUGAGUACCGAGUCCUGAGACUGCAUGGGAAGGAACGAAGGAGGAGCCGGCGUGGGGGGGACCACUGUGAGGAGGGGGAGAACGAAGGGGAACCUGCGUAGAUACUUUGUAACUUUGUCAGCACCGUUUGUGUGGUGACUAUUUGUGUACCUUGUGAAUUUCACUGUGACUUGUCACAUGUGACAAUAAAGUAUUCAUACAUUCAUUCAUUCUGCCUCUCACCCAAUGGGUUUUCACUGGGAGCUCCGGUUUCCCUCCUACAUCUCAAGUAUAUGUAGAUUGGUAGGUUAACAGGUCGGUGUACAUUGCCCCUUGGUUUGUGGUAGAAUUUGGAAGGAUUGAUUGACCAAUUCAAUGUAGGGGGAAUAAAAUAAUUUGUUUAAUGGAGUUUUAAAGCAAAAUGGGCGAAUGGUGGUCGAUGCAGACUCUUAAAACGUAGAAUACAGACAGCACAGUAACAGGCCCAAACAUCUGGAGUAACUCAGUGGGUCAGACAGCAUCUCUGGAGAAAAGGAAUAGGUGACAUUUCAGGUCAAGACCCUUCAUCUGAAGAAAUGUCUUGCCCCGAAAUGUCACCUUUUUCUUUUCUCCAGAGAUGCUGUCUGACCCGCUGAAUUACUCCAGCACGUUCCAAUCACUCACCACGCUCUGUGUGAAACUUGCGCUGCAAAUCAUCUUUAAGGGCCAGUCCCACUUAAGCGAUUUUUUGCGCGACUACAGGCGACUGCCGCAAAAUUUUCCAACACGUUGAAAAAUAUUCGGCGACAGUGGCGACAUUUGUUGUUGUAGGUUGUCGUAGAUUGAUGUAGGUGCUGUCAUAGGUUGUCGCCAGGUGUCGUAGGUGAAUUCCAUUAAAACUAGUCUCUGGUAGUCGCCUAAAGAGUCGCCUAAGUGGGCCAUGCCCAUUAAAUUUUGACACUCUCUCCUUAAAGAUAUGUAUGUCCUCUUUGAAAUUUCCACGCUGGAAAGGUUCUGAUUAUGUACCCUAUAUCUGCUGCUUAUAAUUUUAAAUACUCCUAUUAAAUCUCUCUCAACCUCCAACAAUCCAAGUUUUUACAACCUCUCUUUAAAACUCAUAGUACCUAAUCCAGUCAGCUUUCUGGCAAAACUCUCUGCACCCACUCCAAAGCUUCCACAUCCUUUCUGUAAUGAGGUGCCCAGAACUGCACACAAUACUUCAAAUGCGGCUUAACAAUCGUCCUAUAAAGCUACAACAUGGCUUUUGACUCUUAGCCUCAAUGCCCCGUCUGUUGAAGACAAGAAUACCAUAUGUAUUUUUAACCACUCUAUCUACAAGUCGCCACUUUCAGGAAGCAAUGAACUGAACCCCAAGAUCCCUCUGCAUGUCAAUGCUAUUAAAGGUCCUGGCAUUAACAGUAUACUUAUCCCUUCUUGACUCUGUGGGUCGAAGGGCCCAUUUUGAAGUUGUAUCUCUCUUUGACUGUGAUUCUAAUACAGAUUUAACAGUACGUGGGAAUAUAUAAUUAAUGCAGUAGACUAUUAUGAAAGACCAUCUUGUGUGAUAGCGACUUCAUCACACUGUCCCAAAAAGUAUUUUGAAACAUUUUUACCUCUGGCAUGCUAUAUUCACAACUAAAAGAAAGUUGCUAUAGAGACAUAAAUAAUUGCAGAUGCUGAAAUCUUGAGCAAAACACAAAGUGCUGGAGGAACUUAGCGGGUAAGGCGGCAUCAAUGCAGAGAAUGGACAGAUGACGUUUUGCGAUGGACUCUUCUGAUCCCUUGACUAGUCAGGCUCAAUUCACUUCUUCCCUUUACAUCUUAUCCACAUCAGCCAGACUGUGAAACUCACUGUCCGUAAUGUGUGGGGAGGAACUGCAGAUGCAGAUUUAAACUGAAGAUAGACACAAAAAGCUGGAGUAAGGCGGGACAGGCAGCAUAUCUGGAGAGGAAUGGGUGACGUUUUGGGUUGAGACCCUUCUUUAGUCUGGUUAGGGAUAAGGGAAACGAGAGAUAUAGAUGAUGAUGUAGAGAGAUAAAGAACAAUGAAUAAAAGAUAUUCAAAAAAGUAACGAUGAUAAAGGAAACAGGCCAAUGUUAGCUGUUUGUGGGGUGAAAAUAAGAAGCUAGUGCUACUUGAGUGGGGGAGGGAGAGGGGAAGGGGGAAUGCCAGGCUACCUGAAGUUAGAUAAAUCAACAGUCAUACCACUGGGCUGUAAGCUUCCGAAAUAUGAGAUGCUGUUCCUUCAAUUUGCAUUUAGCCUCCCUCUGACAAUGGAGGAGACCUAGGACAGAAAAGUCUGUGCGGGAAUGGGAAAGAGUAUUAAGUGUUUAGCUACCGGGAGAUCAGCUGAGUUCAGGCGGACUGAGUGAAGGUGUUCAGCGAAAUGAUCGCCCAGUCUACGUUUGGUUCCUUAGGGCAGUGGUUCUCAACCUUUUUUCAGUGAUGUACCCCCUGUGAAAUAUUUUUUCAGCCAAGUACCCCCUAACCAGCGCAAAGCAUUUUUGGUUGAAAAAAAAUGACUUAAAACAGAGCAGUGCCAUCAGUGUCUGAUUUAUUAAACUUUGGAACUGAUAAACACAUACAAAAUUCAAACAUUUGAAAAAAAACUAUUUCGAACAUUUUAAAUGUUAAUAAUCCAUGAUUAAAUUUAUUGCAAAUAUUUCUCAUCACUAAAAUGUAGUGAUUCAAACUAAUGUAGUGAAAACAAUGACCAUAUAACCAUUUAAAACUAUAAAAUGAACCAUUUAAAACUCCAUAAAUGUGCAAAACACUGCUCAUUUGUAGUGGUCUCUCUUGAACUAUUUGGAAAUAAAAAGAUAUAACUAAUAAAAAGAAAGAAAUAAUUAACUUAAUUAUAAAUAAAGAUUUGUGCACAUAAAAAUAAUUAUCAACAUAAAGUGUCCUCUUUUGGGAUCAUAGUAAAGAUCUGUGCUCAAAAAGAAAUCAUUAACUUAAUUUUAAAUAAAAGCAGAAAUUGCUAAAAAUAAAAAAUAAAAAUAUUUAUCAUCGGUUUGCUAGAUAUGAACUGUUUUGGGAGAGAAAAAUGCUCACGGCAGACCAAACGUGUUAAACAGAAAUUGGUCAGAUAUUGAGCUUUACACAGUAAGAAAUCAUGUGAAAUCAUCACUGACUUUAAUUUUAAAUGAAUGUACCUGCAUGUUAUACUGUUUAGUUUGGAGAUACAACCAGAUAGUCUACUGAGUUCGCACUGACCAGCGAUUCCUGUUACAGAUUUGAACAUGUUAUUUGGCGGCCAAUCAAUCGCUGUCUCUAAGGGAGUUGCAUCCAAUCACCAACCAGCUUGCUUUAAAAUGUCCGUCCAAUCAACAAAUAGGUCUCCUCCCGUCCAAUCAGCCGCUGUCUCCAAGGGCAUUGUGUCCAAUCACAUAAUGCAGUUUAAUGGUAAUUAGCAGCUACGGUAAAGGUUGGAAGCCGGUGGAGCUACUGACAGUCAAACGGGAGGGAGCAGGAGAGAUUCACACAGUGUAGAAUCCAUAGCACCUAGUGUACAAUUUCAUAAUAUAUACUAAAUAACUGGGCUGACAGACCUUGGCUGGGAAUCUGGGGCCCACCAAAAUUGUUCCCAAUUGGGCCCCGCACAUCCUAAGGCCGGCCCUGUAUACGUAGGCCUAUAUUUUAAAAUCUCACGUACCCCCUGGAGUGCCUUCACGUACCCCCAGGGGUACGCGUACCCCCAUUUGAGAACCACUGCCUUAGGGGACCAAAACUGCACACAAUACUCCAGGUGUGGUCUCACUAGGGCUCCAUACAACUCCAGAAGGACCUCUUUGCUCCUAUAGUCAGCUCCUCUUGUUAUAAAGGCCAACAUGCCAUUCGCUUUCUUCACCUCUUUGCAACAUUUCUAAGCAAAUAGAGGCGCUAGCGGGCUUUCUUCCUGAUUCAAUCUGCAGGUGUACGUGCCGGGGCCAGGACAGGUCAGAGACUCCCUCCAUCAACUCCCUCCACUGCCAACCCACCAGUGGAAACGGGUGCCUGGUGUCCCGGUUUCCCCUUUCUGUUGUCAACAAUAUCACUAUGUUUCCACAAGUGGGAGAAGCUCAGACUGGGGGAUGUUGUUAUAAGGUUAAGGGGCACCCAUCUAAAAAUGAAGUACAUCGGACCUUCUCACAAGGUAUGGGAUCUCUGGAAAUCUUUUCCCUGCCAAGUUGUAGGGGCCAGGACAGUAGUCAGUCUUCCUCUCAGCUGGGACUUUUCUGAAAAUGCAAAGUCCAAUAACCAUAUAUUUAUGCAAUAUUAUUCUAUUAAAUGUGAGCUCCAAUAAUCUAUAUUCUAUUCUAUGGGGAGAAGGCAGGAACGGGAUACUGAUUGUGGAUGAUCAACCAUGAUCACAGUGAAUGGUGGUGCAGGUUCAAAGGGCCAAAUGACCUGCUCCUGCACCAUUCAAGUAAUUGUCAUUUGACAUUGUCUAUUGUCUAUAAAAUGGAAUUCAGAAAAUUAAACAAUGCAUUGUUGCCAAAAGAUGGUCUGUAAUGUUCCGUUGCUGUGGUAGCAUUAGGUCAGUUAAAGAACAUCAUGGGACAGUUGCUUUUUUUGAACUGGGAGUGUGAGACGUUUCCACUUCUGUGUCUACUGUCCGAUGGUAACAGUGAGAAGACAGCAGGCCAAUCCGAUUUUAGCUAUUAGUUGAGAAAACUUAACCUGAACAACUUGUUAUUCUUAACAUCUCUAUAUUCUGAGACCUUUCAUGUAAAAGAUCUUUCAGGGGAAGUGUUGCGACUAUCCGCAGAAAGUAAAGCGUAAUCUGCGUGCCAUUGUAAUAUUUUUAAUAUAUUGCGACAUUUGGAUUGAUACAGCCACAUUAAAAUAAAAGCAUGUGGAGGUGCAUUUGUGCAAAUGAAAAGCCCCUUCCAUCGGCAGGAGCACUGUGCUGCCACAGGGCUACAGGUAAGAAUACGGUGGAUAAUUUAACUGAGCAGCUGGCUCAACAUGAGCAGCUAGUAGCACAGCUGAAAGACGACAUUCAGGACAAGGAGACGCAGCUUCACGUGAGAGAUCAACAGCUUAAGUUGCUGGAAGACUUUGUGAAAAGUACGAGGAACUGCUGGAAACGACUCAUCAUGUGGAAGUGCUGCAGAUAAAGCUCGAUGAGAAGAAUCAGGAGCUAGCGGAGUUGGUUGAAGAUUUAAGAAAGGUUGAGAUCGACAAUGAAAAUGGCAAGGACAAGCUUUUGGCAGAAAAGCACGCCAUGCGAACCAAGGUCAGAGAUCUGAUGGAAAAUCACAAGGGAUGUUUAAAAAUUCUCAAAUCAAAACACAGCGCUCAGGUCCGUAAAAUCCGAGAGAAACAUGCCCAAGAAACAUCACAAAAAGAUCAGUGCUGUUUAGAACUUCAUAAAGAUCUCCAACUUUUAAGACCUCAUACCAAGUUCUGUGCACCACUUGCCGACCAAGCAAUUGGUUCGUUAAAUUAUUUCACUGAACGGAAGAUUAAAGAACUGGAAGGUAAUUACUCAAAGUUGACCUGUUAAUAUUUUUGGCCAUAAACGUUCCUACCGCAGAUUUGUACAUCUGUCGGCUCGUGGUAGGGAGUAGGUUUGCCUUAAAAUAUUCUAGCAUUAGAGCAAUGGAGUGGAUUUUAUGACAAACCAUCACUUCGUUUUUGUUUUGCCGUGUAAUUAUCUCAUCCCUGUAACCUCAUGAGAUUUUGUGUAUGCAAAUUGGUUGCUGUAAUUCCUAUAUUUUUUCACUGAUCACACUUAAAAAUAUACUUAAUUGGUUGGUAAAUGGGUUGGUACAUUCAGUGAUCAGGAAAAGUAGCGUGUAAUCUAUGUUUUUUUCACUCGGGUAUUCUGGUCAGAUUCCUUGAUCAGAAGAUAGUGAUGUUUAAAGGAUUCAAGAAAAGAAUUCCUUGAGAAGCAUUUGUGAGAGUCUGCCAAAUGGCUGACAGGAACACACAGAUUCGUACAGAUGCUUUUAAAAACAUUCUCUUCUUGAAUCCUUUAAACAUCGCUAUCACUGAAUUUUAAUUUUGAGAGGAUGCUGAUAGUUAAAACAUGACAUUGUGAAGGGUGGCCUGGUGGCGCAGCGGUGGAGUUGCUGCCUUUCAGCGCCAGAGACCUGGGUUUGAUCCUGACUGUGGUGCUUGUCUGUACGGAGUUUGUAUGUUCUCCCUGUGGGUUUUCGUCCAGGUAUCCUCACACUCCAAAGACAUACAGGUUUGUAGGUUAAUUGACUUGGGUUAAUGGUAAAUUAUCCCUAGUUUGUGUAUGAUAGUGUUAGUGUGGAUGUGUAAGGUCAGAACAAAGGCUUUCAGUACAGCCGAGCACUGCCAUCUGCUGGCCACCCUCAAAACUGCCCACUGUUUUGACCGGCUAAUAUAUCACCCAUCCCCCAGCUUGAGCUGCAUCCCCCACAGCACUGGGGCAACCUUCACAUCAAUGGCUGCAGCGCUUCACAAGGUGGCAGCUCUACAGCUUGAGGGGCUAGUGAUGGGCAACGAGUGCCACCCUGUCACUGAUACGCAGCUCUGGAAACUCAAAUUGAAAAUACUCAGGUAGGUUCAGCUCAGCGCACUCUCCCAGCACCCUGUUUACAACCACCACAUCAC